UAACAAGGAUUCCCCUAGUACUGCGAGUGAAGCGGGAUGAGCUCAAAUUUAAAAUCUGUCAGCUUUCGCUGUCCGAGUUGUAAUCUAGAGAAGCAUUUUCUGUGAUGGACCGUGUACAAGUUUCUUGGAAUAGAACUUCAUAGAGGGUGAGAAUCCCGUCCAUGACACGGACUACCGUUACUUUGUGAUAUGCUCUCAAAGAGUCGAGUUGUUUGGGAAUGCAGCUCAAAAUGGGUGGUAAGUUCCAUCUAAAGCUAAAUAUUGGCGAGAGACCGAUAGCGAACAAGUACCGUGAGGGAAAGAUGAAAAGCACUUUGGAAAGAGAGUUAAACAGUACGUGAAAUUGUUGAAAGGGAAACGCUUGAAGUCAGUCGCGUUGCUUAGGACUCAGCCUUGCUUUUGCUUGGUGUACUUCCUAUGUAACGGGUCAACAUCAAUUUUGGUUGGUGGAUAAAGAUUGAAGGAAUGUGGCAUCUUAGGAUGUGUUAUAGCCUUCUUUUGUAUACACUGGCUGGGAUUGAGGUCUGCAGCACGCCUUUAUGGCCGGGGUUCGCCCACGUAUCGUGCUUAGGAUGUUGGCAUAAUGGCUUUAAGCGACCCGUCUUGAAACACGGACCAAGGAGUCUAACAUGCUUGCGAGUAUUAGAGUGGAAAACUCUUGUGCGUAAUGAAAGUGAAAGUUGGGACUCUUCGCGGAGGCACCGACGCCCGGCUCUGAAGUUUACUGACGAUGCUGCGGUAGAGCACGUAUGUUGGGACCCGAAAGAUGGUGAACUAUGCCUGAAUAGGGUGAAGCCAGGGGAAACUCUGGUGGAGGCUCGUAGCGAUUCUGACGUGCAAAUCGAUCGUCAAAUUUGGG
rnacentral:rRNA from 1 species